rnacentral:rRNA from 1 species
GGACGAACGCUGGCGGCGUGCUUAACACAUGCAAGUCGAGCGGUAAGGCCCUUUCGGGGGUACACGAGCGGCGAACGGGUGAGUAACACGUGGGUGACCUGCCCUUAGCUCUGGGAUAAGCCUGGGAAACUGGGUCUAAUACCGGAUAUGACUCCAUGACGCAUGUUGUGGGGUGGAAAGCCUUGUGCGGCUAGGGAUGGGCCCGCGGCCUAUCAGCUUGUUGGUGGGGUGANGGCCUACCAAGGCGACGACGGGUAGCCGGCCUGAGAGGGCGACCGGCCACACUGGGACUGAGACACGGCCCAGACUCCUACGGGAGGCAGCAGUGGGGAAUCUUGCGCAAUGGGCGAAAGCCUGACGCAGCGACGCCGCGUGGGGAUGACGGCCUCGGUU